GCGCUGGUGGGAUACCGCCCUGACUGUAUUGAAAUUCUAACCUACGGGUCUUAUCGACCCGGGAGACAGUGUCAGGUGGGCAGUUUGACUGGGGCGGUCGCCUCCUAAAGUGUAACGGAGGCGCCCAAAGGUUCCCUCAGAAUGGUUGGAAAUCAUUCGUAGAGUGCAAAGGCAUAAGGGAGCUUGACUGCGAGACCUACAAGUCGAGCAGGGACGAAAGUCGGGCUUAGUGAUCCGGUGGUUCCGCAUGGAAGGGCCAUCGCUCAACGGAUAAAAGCUACCCCGGGGAUAACAGGCUUAUCUCCCCCAAGAGUCCACAUCGACGGGGAGGUUUGGCACCUCGAUGUCGGCUCAUCGCAUCCUGGGGCUGUAGUCGGUCCCAAGGGUUGGGCUGUUCGCCCAUUAAAGCGGUACGCGAGCUGGGUUCAGAACGUCGUGAGACAGUUCGGUCCCUAUCCGUCGUGGGCGUAGGAAAUUUGAGAGGAGCUGUCCUUAGUACGAGAGGACCGGGAUGGACGCACCGCUGGUGUACCAGUUGUUCUGCCAAGGGCAUAGCUGGGUAGCUAUGUGCGGAAGGGAUAAGUGCUGAAAGCAUCUAAGCAUGAAGCCCCCCUCAAGAUGAGAUUUCCCAUAGCGUAAGCUAGUAAGAUCCCUGAAAGAUGAUCAGGUUGAUAGGUUCGAGGUGGAAGCAUGGUGACAUGUGGAGCUGACGAAUACUAAUAGAUCGAGGACUUA
rnacentral:rRNA from 1 species